rnacentral:rRNA from 1 species
UCAGACGAUGCGUCAUGCAUAUCAAUAAGCGGAGGAAAAGAAACUAACAAGGAUUCCCCUAGUAACGGCGAGUGAAGCGGGAAGAGCUCAAAUUUGAAAUCUUAAAGGGUUUCCCUUUACGAAUUGUAGUUUAAAGAAGUGUUUUCUGUUGAGGUUUUGGUAAAAGUUCUUUGGAAUAGGACAUCAUAGAGGGUGAGAAUCCCGUAUUUGACCUUUACUUUCAACUUUGUGAUACACUUUCAAGGAGUCGGAUUGUUUGGGAAUGCAGUCCAAAAUGGGUGGUAAAUUUCAUCUAAAGCUAAAUAUUGGCGAGAGACCGAUAGCGAACAAGUACCGUGAGGGAAAGAUGAAAAGAACUUUGAAAAGAGAGUUAAACAGUACGUGAAAUUGUCAAAAGGGAAGCGUUUGACACCAGUGUUGUUUUUCUGAAAAUCAAUUAAAGAACUGCUUAUGCUAAGCUGUUUAGACUUUAUCAGCUAUCUGUUUAGUUUUAGGCUUUUCUUUAAUGCACUUUUCAGUUAACAAGUCAACAUCAAUUUCUUUUGCUGUAUAAAAGCUUGAGGAAGGUGGCUUGAGAUUCGUCUUAAGUGUUUAUAGCCUCUUGCCUAUGCAGUCGGAGAGAUUGAGGUCUGCAGCGUAGAUCCUUCGGGGCUAAAUGCAUUUGUGCUAAGUUAUAGCAUUUUAUAGACAACUUGUUGACUAUGAUUUGUCUUGUAGCUUACUCGCUUAUGUUAUUUUACCUACGCUUAGGAUGUUGACACACGCGCGUGCUCG